ACCUUCCUUGUCGUGGGGAGCAUAAUACUCAAUGAACGUCUAGUGAGAGUAUUGAUGCUGACACCACAAUAUUUUAACCCCCGUAUGUAUAUUCGUGUACGUACGGAAUUUUUGGAUAU
rfam:Musca domestica strain aabys unplaced genomic scaffold Scaffold18858, whole genome shotgun sequence.